GCCUCCGUAGUUUAGUUGGUUAUAACACCCCACUAGUAGUACUAGUAUUCAAUCAACUAAUGGGGAGGUCUGUCGUUCGAAUCGGCACGGAGGCA